GAUUAACGCUGGCGGCGUGCAUAACACAUGCAAGUCGAACGAUGAAACUUUAAUGAACCCUUCGGGGAGAAUUAAAGCGGAUUAGUGGCGAACGGGUGAGUAACGCGUGAGUAACCUGCCUUACACAAGGGGAUAGCCUUUGGAAACGAAGAAUAAUACCCUAUAAAACCAUAAAAGCACAUGCAAUUAUGGUCAAAGUGAUAGCGGUGUAAGAUGGACUUGCGUCUGAUUAGCUAGUUGGUGAGAUAAAAGCCCACCAAGGCAACGAUCAGUAGCCGGCUUGAGAGAGUGUACGGCCACAUUGGGACUGAGACACGGCCCAGACUCCUACGGGAGGCAGCAGUGGGGAAUUUUGCACAAUGGGGGAAGCCCUGAUGCAGCGACGCCGCGUGAUUGAGAAGGCCUUCGGGUUGUAAAAAUCUUUUGUAUAGGAAGAAAAUGACAGUACUAUACGAAUAAGGUCCGGCUAAUUACGUG
rnacentral:rRNA from 1 species